rnacentral:rRNA from 1 species
UACGGGGGGGGCAAGCGUUGUUCGGAAUUACUGGGCGUAAAGGGCUCGUAGGCGGCCAACUAAGUCAUACGUGAAAUCCCCCGGCUUAACCGGGGAACUGCGUCUGAUACUGGAUGGCUUGAGUUCGGGAGAGGGAUGCGGAAUUCCGGGUGUAGCGGUGGAAUGCGUAGAGAUCCGGAAGAACACCGGUGGCGAAGGCGGCCUGCUGGGACAGUGCUGACGCUGAAGCGCGACAGCGUGGGGAGCAAACAGG